rnacentral:lncRNA from 1 species
AGUAGAUAAAGAUGGAUGGUUGGCCAUUCAAAUUCAAAUGAAGUUUGAAUUUGAAUGGACAACUAAUCCCAUGCGCCACCUUAUUCAUUUGUGCGCCACUUCCUCCACACGAGAAAAGGUUUCUCGUGUAAACUCUCCAUGCACAAAGAAUCCCAUGCCCCUCCCUUCUCACACCAAGAGUAGAUAAAGAUUGGUUGGUUGGCAUUUAAAUUCAAAUUCGAUUUAAAUUUAAGUGAGCAACCACCUAUCUUUA